CAGAGGACACUCAGGGGCAGCAGCACCUUAGCUGGUGAGGACGUCCCUCUGGCAUUUCAACAAAGCAUACAGUAGGUUCUGAGUCACUGCUCCAGGGAAAUGAACAUCCUGCCUUGGUUCAACCCAUCCAAUGACAUGGGACUUAUCCUGGGAAGACUGGCAGAUGGAUUCCACCCAGAUGCCUCCCUCCCGGAGCUACAGGUCCUUAGGGAAACUGGCCUAAAAAUCAACUCUCCUAGCCCUAAGUCACCUGUUCUUAUCAGAACCUAGAAGGACAGGUCUCCCAAGUCCCAACUGGACCUGAUUUGCAAGGGACCUCUUCCAGUCCUCCUUUCCUCACCUGCAACUAUCAGGGUUCCAGGAACCUCCAGCAGGAUUCACCAUUCCAGGGGAAAGCCUUGGAAACCACCCCUGAAGAUAGAAGCACUCUAACAUCCUACACCUGUGAGCCAUUUGAAG
ensembl:lncRNA